rnacentral:rRNA from 1 species
UAGUCCACGCCGUAAACGAUGAGUGCUAGCUGCUGGAAAUGUCUACCGUUUCAGUGGCGAAGCUAACGCAUUAAGCACUCCGCCUGGGAAGUACGGCCGCAAGGCUAAAACUCAAAGGAAUUGACGGGGGCCCGCACAAGCGGUGGAGCAUGUGGUUUAACUCGAAGCAACGCGCAGAACCUUACCCAGGCGUGACAUCUCCAGAAGUUCGUGGAAACACGUUCGUGCCUUCUCACGAAGGAACUGGAUGACAGGUGCUGCAUGGCUGUCGUCAGCUCGUGCUGUGAGGUGUUCGGUUAAGUCCGGCAACGAGCGCAACCCCUGUCGUUAGUUACCAGCAUUCAGUUGGGUACUCUAGCGAGACUGCCGGUGAUAAACCGGAGGAAGGUGGGGAUGACGUCAAGUCCUCAUGGCCCUUAUGUCUGGGGCUACACACGUGCUACAAUGGCGUUUACAGAGGGCAGCGAGACCGCAAGGUGGAGCAAAUCCCAAAAAGGACGCCUC